rnacentral:rRNA from 1 species
UUAAGCGACUAAGCGUACACGGUGGAUGCCCUGGCAGUCAGAGGCGAUGAAGGACGUGCUAAUCUGCGAAAAGCGUCGGUAAGGUGAUAUGAACCGUUAUAACCGGCGAUGUCCGAAUGGGGAAACCCAGUGCAAUUCGUUGCACUAUCGUUAACUGAAUACAUAGGUUAACGAGGCGAACCGGGGGAACUGAAACAUCUAAGUACCCCGAGGAAAAGAAAUCAACCGAGAUUCCCCCAGUAGCGGCGAGCGAACGGGGAGCAGCCCAGAGUCUGAAUCAGCUUGUGUGUUAGUGGAACGGUCUGGAAAGUCCGACGGUACAGGGUGAUAGUCCCGUACACCAAAAUGCACAGGUUGUGAACUCGAAGAGUAGGGCGGGACACGUGGUAUCCUGUCUGAAUAUGGGGGGACCAUCCUCCAAGGCUAAAUACUCCUGACUGACCGAUAGUGAACCAGUACCGUGAGGGAAAGGCGAAAAGAACCCCGGCGAGGGGAGUGAAAAAGAACCUGAAACCGUGUACGUACAAGCAGUGGGAGCCUCUUUAUGGGGUGACUGCGUACCUUUUGUAUAAUGGGUCAGCGACUUAUAUUCUGUAGCAAGGUUAACCGUAUAGGGGAGCCGCAGGGAAACCGAGUCUUAACUGGGCGUUAAGUUGCAGGGUAUAGACCCGAAACCCGGUGAUCUAGCCAUGGGCAGGUUGAAGGUUGGGUAACACUAACUGGAGGACCGAACCGACUAAUGUUGAAAAAUUAGCGGAUGACUUGUGGCUGGGGGUGAAAGGCCAAUCAAACCGGGAGAUAGCUGGUUCUCCCCGAAAGCUAUUUAGGUAGCGCCUCGUGAAUUCAUCUUCGGGGGUAGAGCACUGUUUCGGCUAGGGGGUCAUCCCGACUUACCAACCCGAUGCAAACUACGAAUACCGAAGAAUGUUAUCACGGGAGACACACGGCGGGUGCUAACGUCCGUCGUGAAGAGGGAAACAACCCAGACCGCCAGCUAAGGUCCCAAAGUCAUGGUUAAGUGGGAAACGAUGUGGGAAGGCACAGACAGCCAGGAUGUUGGCUUAGAAGCAGCCAUCAUUUAAAGAAAGCGUAAUAGCUCACUGGUCGAGUCGGCCUGCGCGGAAGAUGUAACGGGGCUAAACCAUGCACCGAAGCUGCGGCAGCGACACGAUGUGUUGUUGGGUAGGGGAGCGUUCUGUAAGCCUGCGAAGGUGACCUGUGAGGGUUGCUGGAGGUAUCAGAAGUGCGAAUGCUGACAUAAGUAACGAUAAAGCGGGUGAAAAGCCCGCUCGCCGGAAGACCAAGGGUUCCUGUCCAACGUUAAUCGGGGCAGGGUGAGUCGACCCCUAAGGCGAGGCCGAAAGGCGUAGUCGAUGGGAAACAGGUUAAUAUUCCUGUACUUGGUGUUACUGCGAAGGGGGGACGGAGAAGGCUAUGUUAGCCGGGCGACGGUUGUCCCGGUUUAAGCAUGUAGGCGGAGGUUCCAGGUAAAUCCGGUACCUUUUAACGCUGAGGUGUGAUGACGAGGCACUACGGUGCUGAAGUAACAAAUGCCCUGCUUCCAGGAAAAGCCUCUAAGCAUCAGGUAACAUCAAAUCGUACCCCAAACCGACACAGGUGGUCAGGUAGAGAAUACCAAGGCGCUUGAGAGAACUCGGGUGAAGGAACUAGGCAAAAUGGUGCCGUAACUUCGGGAGAAGGCACGCUGAUAUGUAGGUGAAGUCCCUGCGGAUGGAGCUGAAAUCAGUCGAAGAUACCAGCUGGCUGCAACUGUUUAUUAAAAACACAGCACUGUGCAAACACGAAAGUGGACGUAUACGGUGUGACGCCUGCCCGGUGCCGGAAGGUUAAUUGAUGGGGUUAUCCGUAAGGAGAAGCUCUUGAUCGAAGCCCCGGUAAACGGCGGCCGUAACUAUAACGGUCCUAAGGUAGCGAAAUUCCUUGUCGGGUAAGUUCCGACCUGCACGAAUGGCGUAAUGAUGGCCAGGCUGUCUCCACCCGAGACUCAGUGAAAUUGAACUCGCUGUGAAGAUGCAGUGUACCCGCGGCAAGACGGAAAGACCCCGUGAACCUUUACUAUAGCUUGACACUGAACAUUGAGCCUUGAUGUGUAGGAUAGGUGGGAGGCUUUGAAGCGUGGACGCCAGUCUGCGUGGAGCCAACCUUGAAAUACCACCCUUUAAUGUUUGAUGUUCUAACGUAGACCCGUAAUCCGGGUUGCGGACAGUGUCUGGUGGGUAGUUUGACUGGGGCGGUCUCCUCCCAAAGAGUAACGGAGGAGCACGAAGGUUAGCUAAUCCUGGUCGGACAUCAGGAGGUUAGUGCAAUGGCAUAAGCUAGCUUGACUGCGAGCGUGACGGCGCGAGCAGGUGCGAAAGCAGGUCAUAGUGAUCCGGUGGUUCUGAAUGGAAGGGCCAUCGCUCAACGGAUAAAAGGUACUCCGGGGAUAACAGGCUGAUACCGCCCAAGAGUUCAUAUCGACGGCGGUGUUUGGCACCUCGAUGUCGGCUCAUCACAUCCUGGGGCUGAAGUAGGUCCCAAGGGUAUGGCUGUUCGCCAUUUAAAGUGGUACGCGAGCUGGGUUUAGAACGUCGUGAGACAGUUCGGUCCCUAUCUGCCGUGGGCGCUGGAGAAUUGAGGGGGGCUGCUCCUAGUACGAGAGGACCGGAGUGGACGCAUCACUGGUGUUCGGGUUGUCAUGCCAAUGGCAUUGCCCGGUAGCUAAAUGCGGAAGAGAUAAGUGCUGAAAGCAUCUAAGCACGAAACUUGCCCCGAGAUGAGUUCUCCCUGAGACUUUAAGUCUCCUGAAGGAACGUUGAAGACGACGACGUUGAUAGGCCGGGUGUGUAAGCGCAGCGAUGCGUUGAGCUAACCGGUACUAAUGAACCGUGAGGCUUAACCU